UAUACAUCAUAUAGUUGGAAUAUGCAAUGAAGUUGUUAGAUUCGACAAAACGAAUGAUUAGAGGAAUUGUGGGACGAAAUGUUUUCAAUCUGUUCUCAAAUUUUCAAUGAGUAUGACUGCUCAUUUGUUCGAUUGAAGCGUAGACAUUGAAUGUGUGCUCCACGUAGGCCAUUUUCGGUAAACAGAAGUGACGCUAGGGGAUGAGU
rfam:Onchocerca flexuosa genome assembly, scaffold: OFLC_contig0024924